GUGAGGAAUAUUGGUCAAUGGGCGAGAGCCUGAACCAGCCAAGUAGCGUGAGGGAUGACUGCCCUAUGGGUUGUAAACCUCUUUUGCAGGGGGGUAAAGUGGUCCACGUGUGGAUCAUUGCAAGUACCCUGCGAAUAAGGAUCGGCUAACUCCGUGCCAGCAGCCGCGGUAAUACGGAGGAUCCGAGCGUUAUCCGGAUUUAUUGGGUUUAAAGGGAGCGUAGGCGGGGGUUUAAGUCAGCUGUGAAAUGCCGUGGCCCAACCAUGGAACUGCAGUUGAAACUGGACCUCUUGAGAGUACAUAAGGAAGGCGGAAUUCGUGGUGUAGCGGUGAAAUGCAUAGAUAUCACGAAGAACUCCGAUUGCGAAGGCAGCUUUCCGGGGUACAUCUGACGCUGAAGCUCGAAAGUGCGGGAAUCAAACAGGAUUAGAAACCCCUGUAGUCC
rnacentral:rRNA from 1 species